CUAUGAGUAUUCCGAAGGUGCUUUCUCAGCCCUUUUUAUGGUCUUCAUUCUCUACGAAGACUGCAUUUCAAUAGGAUUGCGCAACUAUUACUUUUACGAAGAGCUUCAUCUUGUUUAUCUCCAAUUUUAUGCAUAUGCAUGUAGCCUGAAAGGAAGACAUGAGACAUGUACUUGCUUUUAAAAUCUGGGUCAAUGUGAUGAGGUUGGAAGACAAAAAUCGUUUAAAAAAAGAGCUUGACGUCCGCUUCCUUUCUGCUGCAACAAUGGCCCUAGAUUUUUCCAUCUCCUCCAACCAUCGAAGAAGCCUUUCGAAACAAGAGCGUUUUACUUACAGUUAGAAAUAGUGGAAGCCGUAUUCAUCGUCGGAACUUUUUCUUCUGCUGCAACUUCUCUAUGAAGAUGAUGAACAAUAUCCGCCAAGUUCGGCGGAAGAGACUCACUCGAUCUGAUGAUACUUAUGAUUUCAGUUUCGGUUGGCACUCUCUAAUUCGUGAGUCUCUCGUACAGACUUCGUGGCCAUUGUCUCUCAGCGUUGAUUCUGAAGACGAAGAUGAAUUUUUGGGAAGAAGGAGUCUCAGAGGAAAUCUUAUUUCUAAACCGAAUGACAUUAAUAUAAAUGGAACCCAGGCAUGUGGAUAAACACACCCUAUCAAGUCUUCAUGACAAUUUUUAUCUACAAAUGAAAUCUUUCUGCAAUCAGCAGAUAUUUUACUAGAUGAUUGCAGAUUAUGAAAAUUCUCUUUGGUUAUAUUAUGAAAACGAAGAUCUCGGCCGCAGUGAGCCAGUUGGUUUACGAAUCCAAGAUUGCUUUACUUUUCUUAUGUUUAUUCUUGAAGAUUAAGGCAUUAUUUUGCUGUGUAAAUGAUUUUGGGGAUAAGCAGUUUUCCUCGCGCACUAGGAGAAGAAAUUCUAUCUGUCACUGAGUUCUCCGUUUUCUAACAAAUUCUCACUUUUGCAAAUUAGUGCGGCACCUUAUUUGUCUUAAAUAACAGUGGUGGGUACAACAUUCAAUAAGUCAGUUAGGCUAUAUUCUGCUGCUCGUGUUUUCUGUACGAAAUGUUAUUUUUAUUAAGUUAGAAUAGAAUAGAAUUACUUUGCUGAUUCCCGGAUUAGCUGGAAUAUGUAUUUAAAGGUAUAUCUACGAAACCGUAGUAGCAAAAAUAAAUAAAGUAUUUUUUUUAAUGAA
rnacentral:lncRNA from 1 species